rnacentral:rRNA from 1 species
GGCUUGAGUAUGCUAGAGCGAAGCGGAAUUCCUGGUCUAACGCUGAAAUGCGUAGAUAUCAGGAGGAACACCGGUGGCGAAGGCGGCUUCCUGGACCAAUACGGACGCUGAGGCGCGAAGGCGUGGGUAGCAAACAGGAUUAGAUACCCUGGUAGUCCACGCAGUAAACGGUGAUCACUAGGUGUUACAGGCUAUUGAUACUUGCAGUGCUGGAGCUAACGCAUUAAGUGAUCCGCCUGGGGAUUUCGCCCGCAAGGUUAAAACUCUAAGGAAUUGACGGGGGCCCGCACAAGCGGUGGAGCAUGUGGUUUAAUUCGACGCAACGCGAAGAACCUUACCUGGGUUUGACAUCUGGGGGAUCCACAUGGAAACAUGUGGGGUGCCCUUCGGAGGAGCCCCAAGACAGAUGCUGCAUGGCUGUCGUCAGCUCGCGUCGUGAGAUGUUGGGUUAAGUCCCGCAAUGAGCGCAACCCCUGUCUUCAGUUACCAGCGAUUCGGUCGGGGACUCUGAAGAUACUGCCCCGCGUUAACGGGGAGGUAGGUGGGGAUUGACGUCUAGUCCUCAUGGCCUUUAUGCUCAGGGCUACACACGUGCUACUAUGGGCGGUACAGAGGUGUAGCCGAGACCGCGAGUUGGAAGCCAAUCCCAUAAAGCCGUCCUCAGUUCGGAUUGGAGUCUGCAACUCGA